CCCUCCGUCCGAAAAUACUUAUCAUAGGAAUGGAUGUAUCUAGAUGUAUUUUAGUUAUAGAUACAUCCAUUUUUAUUCAUUUAUGUGAUAAGUAAUUCCGGACGGAGGGAGUAUUUA
rnacentral:pre_miRNA from 1 species